AGAUCGAUGCCCGAGCGGUUAAUGGGAUGGACUCUAAAUUCGUUGACGAUAUGUCUACGCUGUUCAAUCCAGCUCGGACUA
rnacentral:tRNA from 1 species